rnacentral:rRNA from 1 species
GACAGAGGGUGCAAACGUUGUUCGGAAUUACUGGGCGUAAAGCGCAUGUAGGCGGCCAAGCAGGUCGGAUGUGAAAUCCCUCGGCUCAACCAAGGAAGUGCAUUCGAAACCGCAUGGCUGGAGUCCCGGAGAGGGUAGUGGAAUUCUCGGUGUAGAGGUGAAAUUCGUAGAUAUCGAGAGGAACAUCGGUGGCGAAGGCGGCCUUCUGGACGGUGACUGACGCUGAGACGCGAAAGCGUGGGGAGCAAACAGG